rnacentral:rRNA from 1 species
CCUACGGGAGGCAGCAGUGAGGAAUUUUCCGCAAUGGGCUAACGCCUGACGGAGCAAUGCCGCGUGGAGGAGGGAGGCCUGUGGGUCGUAAACUCCUUUUCUCAGAGAAGAAGAUCUGACGGUAUCUGAGGAAUAAGCAUCGGCUAACUCUGUGCCAGCAGCCGCGGUAAUACAGGGGAUGCAAGCGUUAUCCGGAAUUAUUGGGCGUAAAGCGUCCUGAGGUGGCUUACCCAGUCGACUGUGAAAGCUCAAGGCUCAACCUUGAAACGGCAGUCGAAACUUGUAAGCUUGAGUACGGUAGAGGCAGAGGGAAUUCCCGGAGGAGAGGUGAAAUUCGUAGAUAUCGGGAGGAAGGCCAAAGGCGAAAGCACUCUGCUGGGCCGAUUACUGACACUGACAGACGAAAGCUAGGGGAGCGAAAGGGAUUAGAUACCCCUGUAGUCCUAGCCGUAAACGAUGGAUACUAAAGUGUUGCGCGACUCAACUCGUGCAGUGCUGCAGCUAACGCGGUAAGUAUCCCGCCUGGGGAGUAUGCUCGCAAGAGUGAAAACUUCAAAAUUGAAGUUAGAGGCGNGAACGAGACGACGGACGACGACGAGGGAGGAGG